rnacentral:rRNA from 1 species
AAAUGAAUUGACGGGGGCCCGCACAAGCGGUGGAGCAUGUGGUUUAAUUCGAUGCAACGCGAAGAACCUUACCUACUCUUGACAUCCAGAGAACUUUCCAGAGAUGGAUUGGUGCCUUCGGGAACUCUGAGACAGGUGCUGCAUGGCUGUCGUCAGCUCGUGUUGUGAAAUGUUGGGUUAAGUCCCGCAACGAGCGCAACCCUU